UACAGAGGGUGCAAGCGUUAAUCGGAAUUACUGGGCGUAAAGAGCACGUAGGUGGGUAUUUAAGUCGAAUGUGAAACCCCUGAGCUUAACUUGGGGACUGCAUGCGAUACUGAAUGCCUAGAGUAUAGUAGAGGGAAGUGGAAUUUCCGGAGUAGCGGUGAAAUGCGUAGAUAUCGGAAGGAACACCAGUGGCGAAGGCGGCUUCCUGGGCUAAUACUGACACUGAGGUGCGAAAGCGUGGGGAGCAAAC
rnacentral:rRNA from 1 species